rnacentral:rRNA from 1 species
GAUGAACGCUAGCGGCAGGCCUAAUACAUGCAAGUCGAACGGGAUCCAGAUCAAAGCUUGCUUUGGUCUGGUGAGAGUGGCGCACGGGUGCGUAACGCGUGAGCAACCUACCCUUGUCAGGGGGAUAGCCCGGCGAAAGUCGGAUUAAUACCGCAUGACAUCAUUGAGAGGCAUCUUUCGAUGAUCAAAGAUUUAUCGGACAAGGAUGGGCUCGCGUGACAUUAGCUAGUUGGUAAGGUAACGGCUUACCAAGGCUGCGAUGUCUAAGGGCUCUGAGAGGAGAAUCCCCCACACUGGUACUGAGACACGGACCAGACUCCUACGGGAGGCAGCAGUAAGGAAUAUUGGUCAAUGGACGGAAGUCUGAACCAGCCAUGCCGCGUGCAGGAGGACGGCCCUAUGGGUUGUAAACUGCUUUUAUACGGGAACAAACGUCGGUACGUGUACCGGUCUGAGUGUACCGUAAGAAUAAGGAUCGGCUAACUCCGUG